rnacentral:rRNA from 1 species
UACAGAGGGUGCGAGCGUUGUCCGGAAUUACUGGGCGUAAAGGGCUCGUAGGCGGCCAACUAAGUCAGACGUGAAAUCCCUCAGCUUAACUGGGGAACUGCGUCUGAUACUGGAUGGCUUGGAUUUGGGAGAGGGAUGCGGAAUUCCAGGUGUAGCGGUGAAAUGCGUAGAUAUCUGGAGGAACACCGGUGGCGAAGGCGGCAUCCUGGACCAAUAUUGACGCUGAGGAGCGAAAGCCAGGGGAGCAAACGGG